AUAUAAUUUAAAUUUCCCAAUAGAUUUUUUCAUAGAUCUGGCUAAACCUCUUAUUUUUGGAUCUAUUUUGUCAUUUAAAGAGGCUUUAUCUUUCUCUACAUCAGCAACACAGUUAAAAUCGCCUAGAAGCAUGAACGUGUCCUUUAUCCCAUCCAUAUAUCUGUUCAUUAUACUAUUUAAAAAAAAUGAACCUGUCUCUUGUUUAGGGCAUAUAUGUUGAGAAAUGAAAAUAUCGUAUCGUUCAACUUACAGAUCAGGAAGAUUGCUCCUCCCUUAGGAUCACAAUGUUUAUAUAUUAAUUCAUAUUUAACAUUUUUAGAGAUGAUAAUGGCUACACCACAUUUUUUCUUAUCCUUUAAAGAUGCAUGUAUAAUAUUAGGAUAAUUUUUUGUGAUGAAUAUAUUUGCAUCCUCUCCUUUCCAAUGGGUCUCUUGUACCCCACAAACAUCGAUGGUUUGUUUAAAAAGCCAGUCAUACAUAGCUAUUCUCUUUUGGGGAACAUUCAGACCUUGGACAUUAAAUGUAGCAAUAUUUAUAAUGUUUUUCAUCUACAUAUCAAGCUAAAUUCUCAAAUGGUUGGGGACCAUUCUCUCGGUCGUGCAGGCAAACAUAUAACAAUAUCCUAGGGGAAAAGGAAAAACCUUGAAAAAAUUGUUUCCUCUAAGCAAACAAUAUCCAAUCCCCAAAACACAAAACAAUACCCCAAGAAGAAGAGGAAAACCAGUUCCUCUAUACAAACACAGGACCCCAAAACCCAAAUUUGGCAAUGGCCCAAUAGCAAUCCCAUGGGGGGGAGAGAAAGAAAAGGGGCAUACAUAUCCCAGAUCAGUCCUAAGUUAUACAAAUAAAAUAGAUCCCUUGGCAUUAAGCGGUGAGUAAUAGCUAAUUAUUAGCGAAUUGACCAUUUAUCAUUUGUACUAUUAUACCAAUUUUUAGAUCAGGUUGGUUAUCUUAUAGACCCUAAGACUGUAUGGUGUUAUAUACCUUCCCAUGCCCCCUCUAAUGUAGAGAUACAAUAUCCUUAUACAUUUCUAGUAAACAUAAAAUGAUACAAAAUAAGCAAGUAUAUCGUGUACCCUGUAUUUGUAGUACGUGUCUAAUAUUCACACCUUCAUAAGACCCCACCAGCUUGUGUUCAUCCAAAAAAAUAAUAGCAAAGUGUCUAUUAGCUCUGUUUCAUCUCUCUCUUUCUCCUAACCUUUAUUCUUACCCGGUCUAAUUUCCAAAUAUUACAUCUGUGGGUCUAACUCUUUAUUUAUUCAAACUUCUGUGACUUUUGUUUAUGUGUUAUACUAAUAUGUUAUUAGUGACAUAGAAUUUGUAAUCCUCAAUUUCCAUGCUUACUUAGGGCCCUUAGAGAAUAUAUAGUGUAUAAGUGUAUUUUUAAUAGUGGCCGAUUAAUCAAAGUAAAUCCGUCGCUUCUUCUCCUCUACCGUAAAGAGGUUUCAAUUUGUGAUUGUGAGUACCAUUAAUAUAUCAUUUUCACCUUUAAAAAAAAAUAAAAAAUAAUAAUAAUAAUAUUUCCCUCUUUCCUUUCCC